rnacentral:rRNA from 1 species
AGGGAAACCGAGUCUUAAUUGGGCGUUAAGUUGCAGGGUAUAGACCCGAAACCCGGUGAUCUAGCCAUGGGCAGGUUGAAGGUUGGGUAACACUAACUGGAGGACCGAACCGACUAAUGUUGAAAAAUUAGCGGAUGACCUGUGGCUGGGGGUGAAAGGCCAAUCAAACCGGGAGAUAGCUGGUUCUCCCCGAAAGCUAUUUAGGUAGCGCCUCGUGAAUUCAUCUCCGGGGGUAGAGCACUGUUUCGGCUAGGGGGCCAUCCCGGCUUACCAACCCGAUGCAAACUGCGAAUACCGGAGAAUGUUAUCACGGGAGACACACGGCGGGUGCUAACGUCCGUCGUGAAGAGGGAAACAACCCAGACCGCCAGCUAAGGUCCCAAAGUCAUGGUUAAGUGGGAAACGAUGUGGGAAGGCCCAGACAGCCAGGAUGUUGGCUUAGAAGCAGCCAUCAUUUAAAGAAAGCGUAAUAGCUCACUGGUCGAGUCGGCCUGCGCGGAAGAUGUAACGGGGCUAAACCAUGCACCGAAGCUGCGGCAGCGACACUGAUGUGUUGUUGGGUAGGGGAGCGUUCUGUAAGCCUGUGAAGGUGGCCUGUGAGGGUUGCUGGAGGUAUCAGAAGUGCGAAUGCUGACAUAAGUAACGAUAAAGCGGGUGAAAAGCCCGCUCGCCGGAAGACCAAGGGUUCCUGUCCAACGUUAAUCGGGGCAGGGUGAGUCGACCCCUAAGGCGAGGCCGAAAGGCGUAGUCGAUGGGAAACGGGUUAAUAUUCCCGUACUUGGUGUUACUGCGAAGGGGGGACGGAGAAGGCUAUGUUGGCCGGGCGACGGUUGUCCCGGUUUAAGCGUGUAGGUGUGUGUUCCAGGUAAAUCCGGUUCACUUUAACACUGAGGCGUGA